AGUGAACGCUGGCGGUAGGCCUAACACAUGCAAGUCGAACGGCAGCACAGUAAGAGCUUGCUCUUACGGGUGGCGAGUGGCGGACGGGUGAGGAAUACAUCGGAAUCUACUUUUUCGUGGGGGAUAACGUAGGGAAACUUACGCUAAUACCGCAUACGACCUACGGGAGAAAGCAGGGGAACUUCGGACCUUGCGCGAUUGACUGAGCCGAUGUCGGAUUAGCUAGUUGGCGGGGUAAAGGCCCACCAAGGCGACGAUCCGUAGCUGGUCUGAGAGGAUGAUCAGCCACACUUGAACUGAGACACGGUCCAGACUCCUACGGGAGGCAGCAGUGGGGAAUAUUGGACAGUGGGCGCGAGCCUGAUCCAGCCAGACCGCGUGGGUGAAGAAGGCCUUCCGGUUGUAAAGCCCUUGUGUUGGGAAAUAAAAGCAACAGAGUGAUACCCCGCUGUUCUGACGGUACCCAAGGAAUAAGCACCGGCUAACUUCGUG
rnacentral:rRNA from 1 species